rnacentral:rRNA from 6 species
CGACUCUCGGCAACGGAUAUCUCGGCUCACGCAUCGAUGAAGAACGUAGCAAAAUGCGAUACUUGGUGUGAAUUGCAGAAUCCCGUGAACCAUCGAGUUUUUGAACGCAAGUUGCGCCCGAAGCCUUUUGGCCGAGGGCACGUCUGCCUGGGCGUCACGC